rnacentral:rRNA from 1 species
AACGAACGCUGGCGGCAGGCCUAACACAUGCAAGUCGAGCUCCCCGCAAGGGGAGCGGCGGACGGGUGAGUAACGCGUGGGAACGUACCUUUUGCUUCGGAAUAGCCUCGGGAAACUGGGAGUAAUACCGAAUGUGCCCUACGGGGGAAAGAUUUAUCGGCAAAAGAUCGGCCCGCGUUGGAUUAGGUAGUUGGUGGGGUAAUGGCCUACCAAGCCGACGAGCCAUAGCUGGUUUGAGAGGAUGAUCAGCCACACUGGGACUGAGACACGGCCCAGACUCCUACGGGAGGCAGCAGUGGGGAAUCUUAGACAAUGGGCGCAAGCCUGAUCUAGCCAUGCCGCGUGAGCGAUGAAGGCCUUAGGGUUGUAAAGCUCUUUCGUGGGGGAAGAUAAUGACUGUACCCCAAGAAGAAGCCCCGGCUAACUCCGUGCCAGCAGCCGCGGUAA